GAUGAAGAACGUAGCGAAAUGCGAUAAGUAAUGUGAAUUGCAGAAUUCAGUGAAUCAUCGAAUCUUUGAACGUACAUUGCGCCCGCCAGUAUUCUGGCGGGCAUGCCUGUCUGAGCGUCAUUUCAACCCUCAUGCCCCUAGGGCGUGGUGUUGGGGAUCGGCCAAAGCCCGCGAGGGACGGCCGGCCCCUAAAUCUAGUGGCGGACCCGUCGUGGCCUCCUCUGCGAAGUAGUGAUAUUCCGCAUCGGAGAGCGAUGAGCCCCUGCCGUUAAACCCCCAACUUUCCAAGGUUGACCUCAGAUCAGGUAGGAAUACCCGCUGAACUUAAGCAUAUCAAUAAGCGGAGGA
rnacentral:misc_RNA from 1 species